GGGGAAGUGAAACAUCUCAGUACCCUUAGGAAAAGAAAUCAAUUGAGAUUCCCUCAGUAGCGGCGAGCGAACGGGGAUCAGCCCAUUAAGUUAUGUGUGUUUUAGUGGAACGCUCUGGGAAGUGCGAACGUAGAGGGUGAUAUUCCCGUACACGAAAGGGCACACAUAAUGAUGACGAGUAGGGCGAGGCACGUGAAACCUUGUCUGAAUAUGGGGGGACCAUCCUCCAAGGCUAAAUACUCCUGACUGACCGAUAGUGAACCAGUACCGUGAGGGAAAGGCGAAAAGAACCCCUGUGAGGGGAGUGAAAUAGAUCCUGAAACCGCAUGCAUACAAGCAGUGGGAGCACCUUCGUGGUGUGACUGCGUACCUUUUGUAUAAUGGGUCAGCGACUUAUAUUCAGUAGCGAGGUUAACCGUAUAGGGGAGCCGUAGAGAAAUCGAGUCUUAAUAGGGCGUUUAGUUGCUGGGUAUAGACCCGAAACCAGGCGAUCUAUCCAUGAGCAGGUUGAAGGUUGGGUAACACUAACUGGAGGACCGAACCCACUGUCGUUGAAAAGCCAGGGGAUGACUUGUGGAUAGGGGUGAAAGGCUAAUCAAGCCUGGUGAUAGCUGGUUCUCCCCGAAAGCUAUUUAGGUAGCGCCUCGGACGAAUACCAUAGGGGGUAGAGCACUGUUUCGGCUAGGGGGUCAUCCCGACUUACCAAACCGAUGCAAACUCCGAAUACCUAUGAGUACUAUCCGGGAGACAGACUGCGGGUGCUAACGUCCGUAGUCAAGAGGAAAACAAUCCAGACCGCCAGCUAAGGCCCCAAAAUCAUAGUUAAGUGGGAAACGAUGUGGGAAGGCAUAGACAGCUAGGAGGUUGGCUUAGAAGCAGCCACCCUUUAAAGAAAGCGUAAUAGCUCACUAGUCGAGUCGGCCUGCGCGGAAGAUGUAACGGGGCUAAAACUAUGUGCCGAAGCUGCGGAUGUAUACUUUGUAUACGUGGUAGGGGAGCGUUCUGUAAGCCGAUGAAGGUGUGUUGAGAAGCAUGCUGGAGGUAUCAGAAGUGCGAAUGCUGACGUGAGUAACGACAAAACGGGUGAAAAACCCGUUCGCCGAAAGACCAAGGGUUCCAGUCCAACGUUAAUCGGGGCUGGGUGAGUCGACCCCUAAGGCGAGGCCGAAAGGCGUAGUCGAUGGGAAAAUGGUUAAUAUUCCAUUACUUCUGUGUAAUGCGAUGAGAGGACGGAGAAGGCUAAAUCAGCCUGGCGUUGGUUGUCCAGGUGAAAGGAUGUAGGCAUGUAUCUUAGGCAAAUCCGGGGUACUCUAUGCUGAGAUCUGAUAGCAAGCUGUACUUGUACAGCGAAGUGGUUGAUGCCAUGCUUCCAGGAAAAGUCUCUAAGCUUCAGUUACACAGGAAUCGUACCCGAAACCGACACAGGUGGUCAGGUCGAGUAGACCAAGGCGCUUGAGAGAACUCUGCUGAAGGAACUAGGCAAAAUGGUACCGUAACUUCGGGAGAAGGUACGCUGUUGUUGGUGAUGGAACUCGCUUCCUGAGCUGACGACAGCCGCAGAAACCAGGCCGCUGCAACUGUUUAUUAAAAACAUAGCACUCUGCAAACACGAAAGUGGACGUAUAGGGUGUGAUGCCUGCCCGGUGCUGGAAGGUUAAUUGAUGGGGUUAGCGUAAGCGAAGCUCUUGAUCGAAGCCCCAGUAAACGGCGGCCGUAACUAUAACGGUCCUAAGGUAGCGAAAUUCCUUGUCGGGUAAGUUCCGACCUGCACGAAUGGCAUAAUGAUGGCGGCGCUGUCUCCAGCAGAGGCUCAGUGAAAUCGAAAUCGCUGUGAAGAUGCAGUGUACCCGCGGCUAGACGGAAAGACCCCGUGAACCUUUACUGCAGCUUGACACUGAACUUUGACCUUACUUGUGUAGGAUAGGUGGGAGGCUUUGAAGCUGGAACGCUAGUUCCAGUGGAGCCGUCCUUGAAAUACCACCCUGGUAAUGUUGAGGUUCUAACUCUGUCCCGUGAUCCGGGACGAGGACCGUGUCUGGUGGGUAGUUUGACUGGGGCGGUCUCCUCCUAAAGAGUAACGGAGGAGUACGAAGGUGCGCUCAGCGUGGUCGGAAAUCACGCGUAGAGUAUAAAGGCAAAAGCGCGCUUAACUGCGAGACCCACAAGUCGAGCAGGUACGAAAGUAGGUCUUAGUGAUCCGGUGGUUCUGUAUGGAAGGGCCAUCGCUCAACGGAUAAAAGGUACUCUGGGGAUAACAGGCUGAUACCGCCCAAGAGUUCAUAUCGACGGCGGUGUUUGGCACCUCGAUGUCGGCUCAUCUCAUCCUGGGGCUGAAGCAGGUCCCAAGGGUAUGGCUGUUCGCCAUUUAAAGAGGUACGCGAGCUGGGUUUAGAACGUCGUGAGACAGUUCGGUCCCUAUCUACCGUGGGCGCUGGAAAUUUGAGAGGAUCUGCUCCUAGUACGAGAGGACCAGAGUGGACGAACCUCUGGUGUACCGGUUGUGACGCCAGUCGCAUCGCCGGGUAGCUAUGUUCGGAAGGGAUAACCGCUGAAAGCAUCUAAGCGGGAAGCCUACCUCAAGAUAAGAUUUCCCUAGGACUUUAUGUCCUCUAAAGAGCCGUUCGAGACUAGGACGUUGAUAGGUUGGAUGUGGAAGCAUAGUGAUAUGUGAAGCUGACCAAUACUAAUUGCUCGUGAGGCUUGACUAU
rnacentral:rRNA from 3 species